rnacentral:siRNA from 1 species
GUAAAGUAAUGAUGCUUCAAUGCA